CACUGUUUUUUUUAUAUAUAUAUAUAUAUAUAUAUAUAUAUAUAUAUAUAUAUAUAUAUAUAUAUAUAUAUAUAUAUAAUAUUGGGACAUAUAAAAAAGACAACUUUGUUCCACAGAGUAGCUGUUGCCAUUAUAGUUGCGCAGGAACUUUGUUGACUCUAGAGAACCUCGGGCAAAUCAUCCCUGUGGCGGCGACUUUGCAUGCAGAUGCCAUCCAUAUCAACUUUCGAUGCCAGUUUCUCCGCCUACCAUGGUGACCACGGGUAACGGGGAAGCAGGGUUCCAUUCCGUACAGGGACCCUGAGAAACGGCUACCACAUGCAAGGAAGGCAACAGGCGCACAAAUGACCCACUCCUGACGCGGGAAGGUAGUGACG
rnacentral:rRNA from 1 species